rnacentral:snRNA from 1 species
GUGCUCUCUUCGGCAGCACAUAUACUAAAAUUGGAAUGAUAAAAAGAAGAUUAGCAUGGUCCCUGAGCAAGGAUGACACGCAAAUUCGUGAAGCAUUCCAUAUUAGAGAGAGAGAGAGAGAGAGAGAGAGA